UACGGGGGGAGCAAGCGUUGUUCGGAUUUACUGGGCGUAAAGGGCGCGUAGGCGGCGCAACAAGUCACUUGUGAAAUCUCCGGGCUUAACCCGGAGCGGCCAAGUGAUACUGUCGUGCUAGAGUGCGGAAGGGGCUACUGGAAUUCUCGGUGUAGCGGUGAAAUGCGUAGAUAUCAGGAGGAACACCUGUGGUGUAGACGGCUCUCUGGACAGUAACUGACGCUGAGACACGAAAGCGUGGGUAGCAAACAGG
rnacentral:rRNA from 1 species